rnacentral:rRNA from 1 species
AUUGAACGCUGGCGGCAGGCCUAACACAUGCAAGUCGAGCGAGCGGCGGACGGGUGAGUAAUGUAUGGGGACUGCCCGAUAGAGGGGGAUAACUACUGUAAACGGUGGCUAAUACCGCAUACUAUCGGAUAACCCAUAUGGGAUGAGCUAGUAGGUGGGGUAAAGGCUCACCCAGGCGACGAUGUCUAGCUGGUCUGAGAGGAUGAUCAGCCACACUGGGACGUAGACACGGCCCAGACUCCUACGGAGGCAGCAGUGGGGAAUCUUGCGCAAUGGGCGAAAGCCUGAUACAGCCAUGCCGCGUGUAUGAAGAAGGCCUUAGGGUUGUAAAGUACUUUCAUCGGAGAGUCGUUACCCGCAGAAGAAGCACCGGCUAACUCCGUGCCAGCAGCCGCGGUAAUAC